GACGAACGCUGGCGGCGUGCUUAACACAUGCAAGUCGAACGGAAAGGCCCUGCUUUUGUGUGGUGCUCGAUUGGCGAACGGGUGAGUGACACGUGAGUAAACUGCCCUUGACUUUGGGGUAACUUCAGGAAACUGGGGCUAAUACCGGAGAGGAGCUCCUGCUGCAUGGUGGGGGAUGGAAAGUUUCGGCGGUUGGGGAUGGACUCGCGGCUUAUCCGCUUGUUGGUUGGGUAGUGGCUUACCAAGGCUUUGACGGGUAGCCGGCCUGAGCGGGUGACCGGCGACAUUGGGACUGAGAGAGGGCGCAGAAUCGUACCGGAGGCAGUAGUGGGGAGUAUGGCACAGUGGGCGGAAGCCUGAUGCAGCAACGCUGCGUGCGGGAUGACGGCUUUCGGGGUGUAAACAGCUGUCGCAUGUGACGAAGCGUGAGUGACGGUAAUUGGUAAAGAAGCACCGGCUAACUACGUG
rnacentral:rRNA from 1 species